AUGAACGCUGGCGGCGUGCCUAAUACAUGCAAGUCGAGCGAACGGACGAGAAGCUUGCUUCUCUGCUGUUAGCGGCGGACGGGUGAGUAACACGUUGAUAACCUACCUAUAAGACUGGGAUAACUUCGGGAAACCGUAGCUAAUACCGGAUAAUAUUUUUACCCGCAUGGUUCAAAAGUGAAAGACGGUCUUGCUGUCACUUAUAGAUGGAUCCGCGCUGCAUUAGCUAGUUGGUAAGGUAACGGCUUACCAAGGCAACGAUGCAUAGCCGACCUGAGAGGGUGAUCGGCCACACUGGAACUGAGACACGGUCCAGACUCCUACGGGAGGCAGCAGUAGGGAAUCUUCCGCAAUGGGCGAAAGCCUGACGGAGCAACGCCGCGUGAGUGAUGAAGGUCUUCGGAUCGUAAAACUCUGUUAUUAGGGAAGAACAUAUGUGUAAGUAACUGUGCACAUCUUGACGGUACCUAAUCAGAAAGCCACGGCUAACUACGUG
rnacentral:rRNA from 1 species